rnacentral:rRNA from 1 species
GACGAACGCUGGCGGCGUGCUUAACACAUGCAAGUCGAACGGUAAGGCUCCAGCUUGCUGGGGUACACGAGUGGCGAACGGGUGAGUAACACGUGGGUGACCUGCCCUGCACUUCGGGAUAAGCCUGGGAAACUGGGUCUAAUACCGGAUAGGACCGCACCGUGAGGGUGUGGUGGAAAGUUUUUUCGGUGUGGGAUGGGCCCGCGGCCUAUCAGCUUGUUGGUGGGGUAAUGGCCUACCAAGGCGGCGACGGGUAGCCGGCCUGAGAGGGUGGACGGCCACAUUGGGACUGAGACACGGCCCAGACUCCUACGGGAGGCAGCAGUGGGGAAUAUUGCACAAUGGGCGGAAGCCUGAUGCAGCGACGCCGCGUGGGGGAUGACGGCCUUCGGGUUGUAAACUCCUUUCACCAUCGACGAAGGGUUUCUGACGGUAGAUGGAGAAGAAGCACCGGCUAACUACGUGCCAGCAGCCGCGGUAAUACGUAGGGUGCGAGCGUUGUCCGGAAUUACUGGGCGUAAAGAGCUCGUAGGUGGUUUGUCGCGUCGUCUGUGAAAUUCCGGGGCUUAACUCCGGGCGUGCAGGCGAUACGGGCAUAACUUGAGUACUGUAGGGGAGACUGGAAUUCCUGGUGUAGCGGUGAAAUGCGCAGAUAUCAGGAGGAACACCGGUGGCGAAGGCGGGUCUCUGGGCAGUAACUGACGCUGAGGAGCGAAAGCAUGGGGAGCGAACAGGAUUAGAUACCCUGGUAGUCCAUGCCGUAAACGGUGGGCGCUAGGUGUGGGUUUCCUUCCACGGGAUCCGUGCCGUAGCUAACGCAUUAAGCGCCCCGCCUGGGGAGUACGGCCGCAAGGCUAAAACUCAAAGGAAUUGACGGGGGCCCGCACAAGCGGCGGAGCAUGUGGAUUAAUUCGAUGCAACGCGAAGAACCUUACCUGGGCUUGACAUAUACAGGAUCGCGCCAGAGAUGGUGUUUCCCUUGUGGCUUGUAUACAGGUGGUGCAUGGUUGUCGUCAGCUCGUGUCGUGAGAUGUUGGGUUAAGUCCCGCAACGAGCGCGACCCUUGUCUUAUGUUGCCAGCACGUUGUGGUGGGGACUCGUAAGAAACUGCCGGGGUUAACUCGGAGGAAGGUGGGGAUGACGUCAAAUCAUCAUGCCCCUUAUGUCCAGGGCUUCACACAUGCUACAAUGGUCGGUACAGUGGGUUGCCAGUCCGUGAGGGCGAGCUAAUCCCGCAAAGCCGGUCUCAGUUCGGAUCGGGGUCUGCAACUCGACCCCGUGAAGUCGGAGUCGCUAGUAAUCGCAGAUCAGCAACGCUGCGGUGAAUACGUUCCCGGGCCU